rnacentral:rRNA from 1 species
UACGAAGGGUGCAAGCGUUAAUCGGAAUUACUGGGCGUAAAGCGUGCGUAGGCGGUUUGUUAAGUCUGUUGUGAAAUCCCCGGGCUCAACCUGGGAAUGGCAAUGGAUACUGGCAGGCUGGAGUAUGGUAGAGGAAGGUGGAAUUCCCGGUGUAGCAGUGAAAUGCGUAGAGAUCGGGAGGAACACCAGUGGCGAAGGCGGCCUUCUGGACCAAUACUGACGCUCAUGCACGAAAGCGUGGGGAGCAAACAGG